UUAUUAAGGGCGUAUGGGGAAUGCCUAGGCUCUCAGAGGCGAAGAAGGACGUGAUAAGCUGCGAAAAGCUGCGGGGAUUGGCACAUACAAAUUGAUCCGCAGAUAUCCGAAUGGGGCAACCCACUAUAUUGAAGAUAUAGUAUCCGAAAGGAGGCGAACCCGGAGAACUGAAACAUCUAAGUACCCGGAGGAAGAGAAAACAAAAGUGAUUACGCUAGUAGCGGCGAGCGAACGCGUAUUAGCCCAAACCAUAUCGUUUACGGACGGUAUGGGGUUGUAGGACCACGCCAUUUUAUGCAUAAUGAAUUAGAACCCUUUGGAAAGAGGGGCCAAAGACGGUGAUAGCCCGGUAUAGGUAAAUCAUGUUAUAGAUAGUGGUAUCCUGAGUAGUGCGGGGCACGUGAAACCCUGUAUGAAUCCGGCGGGACCAUCCGCCAAGGCUAAAUACUCCUGAGAGACCGAUAGUGAACCAGUACCGUGAGGGAAAGGUGAAAAGCACCCCGACGAGGGGAGUGAAACAGUACCUGAAACCGAACGCCUACAAUCAGUUGGAGGCUCCUUGCGAGCUGACAGCGUACCUUUUGUAUAAUGGGUCAUCGACUUGG
rnacentral:rRNA from 13 species